UAUGCAUUUAUUUUAUCGAUAGUGUGACCUUGUAUCUGAUGGCUCUCUGCUGCUCCCAUUGUCAGUAAUUACUUUGGAAGGUAUUACAUUAAUGUAUUCCACACUUCAGCAGCUAUAAGUCAUGUCUCUCUCCAGUUAUUUGCCAGUAUCUGGCCAAAAAUCAACUGUAAAUUUCAAAAGGCGACCACAGCUGUUUAGUAGGCACCCCAUUAUUUGAAAGUGCGAUGUUUCGGGAGGGAGGCCAUGUUUAACUUUUGGGCUGUUUGACCAUAGGAGAAGGAGAUUAAGAGAGCAGGUGAUUGGUCAGGUGGAAUGGCCGUCUACAGAUUGGCACUCUUAGGUCUUAAAGGUGCAGUAUCUUCCAACAUUCAGAUCUUUCCUACAAAAACAAGGAGGCUGUGUAGAGGACAGCAGAGUUUUAUGCCUCAGAGAGCCUGGGGACCUAGCUGAUUUCUGGCAGUCCGUUAGGCAUCCGGGUGCAGCCCUGCAGAUAAUCCUCCCCCGGUGCUCCCCGUUCCCCAUCCUUUAGUAUCACCACAUAUCACAUUACCGGGGUGAAAUCAAAACAGAAUUUUGGUGUAGAACUAUGGGACCUGACCGUCCCCUAACAUGACAAUUUAGUGCUUGGAACUAGUAUGACCACAAGUUUGUCUAGUCUGCCCCAUAUAAAGCCACUUGAUCACCUGACUGGGGUCAUUCAUUUGCUAUAGGAGUUCUAAUAAAAAUGCAAAUGAUUGGUUAGCACACCAGGAGUGAGAAAUGUGUUACAAAUAACAUUUGCUGUUGUUAUUGUUAUAUAUUCCAUGCCAUCACAGUGGUUGUAAUGCAGUGGGUGUAAGGCAGCUGUUUCUCACUGUAUACACUGGAAGGUGACCAGCUUUAGAAUAACAGCCACACACUGCAUACACUGGAAGGUGACUAGCUUUAGAAUAUUACACACACACUGCAUACACUGGAAGGUGACCAGCUUUAGAAUAACACCCACACACUGCAUACUCUGGAAAGUGACCAGCUUUAGAAUAACACCCACACACUGCAUACACUGGAAGGUGACUAACAUUAGAAUAACACCCACACACUGCAUACACUUGAAGGUGACUAGCUUUAGAAUAACACCCACACACUGCAUACACUGGAAGGUGACCAGCUUUAGAAUAACACCCACACACUGCAUACACUGGAAGGUGACUAGCUUUAGAAUAACACCCACACACUGCAUACACUGGAAGGUGACUAGCUUUAGAAUAACACCCACACACUGCAUACACUGGAAGGUGACCAGCUUUAGAAUAACACCCACACACUGCAUACACUGAAAGGAGACCAGCUUUAGAAUAACACUCACACACUGCCUCUGUAGAUGCGUUUAUAUUCAUUGACUUGUAAGCAAGUGACUUGUUGAGUUUUCCCUCAAAGGCCCACUAAAUUAUGGUGCCCUGCCUUCCCAGGGAGGUGAGGUCUGGUUAUAAGCCACGUAGAUGAAAAAUGGGAGGUGGGUGUGUAGGCCAGUGUCACACAGCCCCAUGAAGCCAGCCCCAACCCAGGCGGAGACAGGCAGCCUUUUUAAUUAACAGCUGGGUGUCUGUGCUUGUCUGUAUGCCUUUGUGUGGGUGUGUGUCUGUGUCUGCAGAGCUUGCUGAGGAGGCCACCUGAAGGGCCUCAUUUGUAUAGCUGACUUCAUUACUUGCUGAAUCCUAAUGACUUUAAAGCACCCAUGAGUCCCCAGGAAGUUCCAGUGAUUUGUCUGUUUACUCUCUUACCCUGAGGCCUUUCUCUGUUAAAAUAUUGCCGUCAAAAUACCGGAACAUUCUCCACUGUUUUAUUUCCAUUGACCACACUGCUGCCCAAGGCAAUUUACAGGGCUGCCGCGGUCAGGUGCAGCGAAUGCAAACGAUGAUGGAGAAGACUGCUGCUGUAGAAAAGCAGCACUGUUCUGUCCCACUCCGCAUAAGUGUGUAUGAUGAGGCACCAGCAGCAGGGAUGCUGAGGACAGCUGAGGCUUUGGGAUGUGUCUGCGGAUGCCCCAAAAAAACAGACAACACCCAACAAUAUCAUUUACCCCCUGGUAGUACAACUGGCUGACAUCCUUCCUCAGUAUAAUACAAGAAAAUUGGAUGUAUUUGAGAAUGAUCUUGAUCAGGUUAAAAGAAAAGAACCUCCCCCUCUAUUGGUUAGUUAAACUUUAUUCAAAAAGUGAUUUUUACAUAACUGAUUGCAGUAGUGAUUACUCCAAAGCUCCAUCUGUCCAAGGUAGAAACUGUUAUCCUUGAAUGUGUGUGCAGCGCUUCCAGGUUGAAUGUUUGAGGUGCCCGUAAUAAUGAAUUAUAUGAGCCUGGUUAAUAUUGGCGGUUGUAAAGAGCUUUGUGAUAAAUUACUUGUGUGUAGCCUAUUGUUUACAUCUCAACUCUGUACUGGAAAAAAUGGUUAUGUAAGAUGGAUGGAUAUUACAUUGUUGUUGCUUACUAGAGAAAACACCUGUUAGCAGUCCCACAUACAUCUGACGCCUCUGAUUCUGUGUGUUUUAUAGAGGGUACAGAUAUUGGCUCCUUUGGCCCUACACUCCCACAUUCAUUGAUGAAUGUCUGCUAAGACGCUAAUGUAGCAGAGCCCAGGUGCAUGCUGGGAGGAAGUGAUGGUCAUUGUUGGGUGGUGUCCUAGUUGGCCAGGUUCCUGGACUUAAGUCUAACUUACCUGAUAUUUCUCUCUCUUUCCUGACAAAAUAUCCGUAGCACAUUUUCUAGUUCUUGUAAACAAAAUGAAAAUAAAUCAGGAAAACGAUCACAGGGGAUGUGCCGAGCGUCACCCAAACGUGCAAGCUCCUCGAGGGGGCUGUAAUUCAGAGUGAAACAGCAGCUUCUGCUGCUUUUCUCAUUGAUUACAACGGGAACACGUGUCUGCGUUUCCACUCUGUCCUCACCUUAAGCACAGCUGUAAAAGACAGUCAUCAUUGAUUUUGGAUCAACUGAAACCUCAGUUGACUUAUUGAACUUGUAAAACUCAUGAGAUUUUGUGGUAAUUGGUGUCAGAAAGUGCACAGUUAACCAACCAUUCAUGUUGAACAUCUGAGUUUAACUGAAAGAUUGAUUUCCCAACAGAUCAAUUUAUUAGUUAGAUGGCUGCACAUGACAGGUGUACAACAAUGACUCAAUGAUGAGCUGAAGCAGCAGGUCUUUUGUGUGGACAAAAUAAACAUCCCUGGGAUGACUAGAUCACAGCCAAUGCAGCCUUUUCUUCUGCUAUUAACCCAGAUUGGCUCAGUAUUAAGCUUUGGCCAAUUGACCAAUAGAAUUAACCGAUAUUAACGUUCCAUGAAAGAACUGGCAUUGGCAGAAACUCUGCAGGUGAAACACCAAUGGUGCCUCUUUAAACACUGACGAUGAGAAAAGAAGCUCUCUCACUGGGGGAAAUGCUGGGAACUGUCCUUCUUGUGUUGUAUCUUGCAGCUCUCACAGGUCAUUAAGUUUGGCCAAAGAGUUGUUAGUGAUUAACCGUAAAGGGAAAAAGUAUAUUUACCAGACAAAACUUAUGGAAUGCAAGUACUUUUUUGUACAUGAUAAUAAUUUGUGAUGUUUUUGUUAUUCUGCUGAGUAGCAUCAACGAUGUACUAAAUCUGAUCGUGUAAUGCAUUCUGAGAGUUCAUGUUAUUCACAUGUUCUAAGUUACAAGGUUAUAACAUGGCUUGUUAUAUUUAUAUUUUUUUCUAUGUAUUGACCUUUGUGAUUCUCUACAGUUUUACAGAUUGACUCUGUUAUGUCAGUCAUAAACACCUGUUUAAAUAAAGCUAUUGGUGUCUGUUUAUUUUUGACCAUAUAAAAUAAUAUUAGUUAUCAGAAUCUUUAGCUCGAUACAGUUGUAUUGCUACUGAAGAGUAUUCCGGAGUAUUCCUAUCUGAUGUGGAUCUCUCAGUUUAUGGAUCACCGGCAGGCUGAGGGGUGAAUUCCCUUGCUUCCUUGCCGAGGCCUUGCUUUCUCCUCAUGAAUUCAUGGGCUGUUGGUCAGAUAUCUAGCUCUACUACGCCAGCUGUACUAUUUUUCACUGACUCGCAUCAUUAACAGUAUGGCAUAGUACCUGGUAGUUCAGCUUAAGCAUGACAUGGGCAAUAAAGAAAUUCUGUCAUUUGGGUCGAUAGAAGAAUCUUUGUUACUGCAUAUUUCGCAUCCUUUCAGCUUCUGGAAGUUGGGAUUUAAAGUAACUCGGAUGCCAGGAAUGCAAAACUAGCUAUGUGGUGUAGAUUGUGUUCUUACAUGACAUCUUUGCGUGGGAGCUCAAAGGUGAAUGAAAUUUUGUUUUGUGUUGUUUCUGUUUGCUUAUACACAAUACCCA